rnacentral:rRNA from 1 species
GACGAACGCUGGCGGCGUGCUUAACACAUGCAAGUCGAACGGAAAGGCCUUGCUUUUGUGGGGUGCUCGAGUGGCGAACGGGGGAGUAACACGUGAGUAACCUGCCCUUGACUUUGGGAGAACUUCAGGAAACUGGGGCUAAUACCGGAUAGGAGCUCCUGCUGCAUGGUGGGGGUUGGAAAGUUUCGGCGGUUGGGGAUGGACUCGCGGCUUAUCAGCUUGUUGGUGGGGUAGUGGCUUACCAAGGCUUUGACGGGUAGCCGGCCUGAGAGGGUGACCGGCCACAUUGGGACUGAGAUGCGGCCCAGACUCCUACGGGAGGCAGCAGUGGGGAAUAUUGCACAAUGGGCGGAAGCCUGAUGCAGCAACGCCGCGUGCGGGAUGACGGCCUUCGGGUUGUAAACCACUUUCGCCUGUGACGAAGCGUGAGUGACGGUAAUGGGUAAAGAAGCACCGGCUAACUACGUG